AGCUCUGGCGCCGGGAUGUUUCCAACCGCAGCCCGCCUUGAUGCAGUGAUUGACAGGACGGGGCAGGGACGUAAUCGGCUCGUCUCGAUAGAGUUGAAGUCCCCUAAGAGACAUAAAACACACUGGAACUACCAACCGCCAUGGAACCAUAUUGAUUAACAGCUUUGACAGCUUACCAAUCUGACUGCGUGUUAGAAAUCAGGACUCUCCAGACUGCUGCAGGUGUAUGAAUCACAGUUUCACGGUCAGAAACGACUCGGGCCAGAUAAACUCACCUAACGGAUUACUGGACAGGACCUGCCUGGAGAGACGCCGCGGGCCAAUUACAGCCUUCCAGUGUAAACUGCAUCAUCUGCAGAGAAGGAUUCAGCAAAUGCGAUAAAGACGAGAAUUGAGGGGAAAAUUGAGCCGUAUGGUGAGUCUAGGCUCCAGACAAUUACUGGUGGAGGUGUAUCGGGUCUGCAGUUGGACUUUGGAUGAAAAGGUGGUGAGUCUGGGAGCACGGACUGUAUUGAUUUUGGUUCAGCACCAGGUAAUGUUUGUAAUACAAAACAGGUUGCACUGCUUUGUUAUUCCCAUAGAGGAUGAAGGUUACCUUGGAUACUUGUCACCUAGUUGAUACACUUUAUUCAAAGCAACCAACUGUAAUAAUCAGCCUGGAUGUCUCUAUGGAGCAAGAUAUGAUUGUAUGU